GACGAACGCUGGCGGCGUGCCUAAUACAUGCAAGUCGAACGCAGUGGGGACGGGUGAGUAACACUUGGUUAACCUCCCGUCAGAGUGGAGAACACUUGGAAACAGGUGCUAAACCCAUCUGAUGGAUGGCCCCGCGUUGCAUUAGCUAGUUGGUGAGGUAACGGCUCACCAAGGCAACGAUGCAUAGCCGGCCUGAGAGGGGGAUCGGCCACACUGGGAAUGAGCCACGGCCCCGACCCCUACGGGAGGCAGAAGUAGGGAAUCUUCGGCAAUGGACGAAAGUCUGACCGAGCAACCGCGCGGGAGUGAAGAAGGUUUUGGGAUCCGAAAACUCUGUUGUUAGAGAAACGGUAUCUAAACAGAAAGCCACGGCUAACUACGGGCCAGCAGCCGCGGUAAUUC
rnacentral:rRNA from 1 species